rnacentral:rRNA from 1 species
AUUCUGGACACUAUGGCGGAAAGCUCAGUAACACGUAGUUAACAUGCCCUCAAGUCUGGGAUAAUCUCGGGAAACUGAGGCUAAUACCAGAUAGACAAGAACUACUGGAAUGUGUUCUUGCCCAAAGUUUCGGCGCUUGAGGAUUGGACUGCGACGGAUUAGGUUGUUGUGAAGGUAAUGUCUUCACAAGCCGAUAAUCCGUACGGGCCUUGAGAGAGGAAGCCCGGAGAUGGAUUCUGAGACAAGAAUCCAGGUCCUACGGGGCGCAGCAGGCGCGAAAAUUUCCCAAUGCGCGCAAGCGUGAGGAAGGGAUCUGGAGUGCUAUCCCAUAUCGGGGUGGCUUUUGUUGAGUGUAAACAGCUCUUCGAAUAAGUGGUGGGUAAGACGGGUGCCAGCCGCCGCGGUAAUACCCGCGCCACGAGUAGUGACCACGUUUAUUGGGCUUAAAGCAUUCGUAGCCGGUUCUGUAAGUCUUUAGUGAAAUCCUGCAGCUAACUGUGGGGCUUGCUAGUGAAACUACAGAACUUGGGACCGGGAGAGGUCUAGGGUAUUCCAGGGGUAGGGGUAAAAUCCUGUAAUCCUUGGGAGACCAUCUGUGGCGAAGGCGCUAGACCAGAACGGAUCCGACGGUGAGGGAUGAAAGCCAGGGGAGCGAAGGGGAUUAGAUACCCCCGUAGUCCUGGCUGUAAACGAUGCCCACUAGACAUUGGCAAUCUUAUGGGGGUUGCCAGUGCCGUAGCGAAAGCGUUAAGUGGGCCGCCUGGGAAGUACGGUCGCAAGGCUGAAACUUAAGGGAAUUGGCGGGGGAGCACACAAGGGGUGGAGGCUGCGGUUCAAUUGGA